ACGGAGGAUGCAAGCGUUAUCCGGAUUUAUUGGGUUUAAAGGGUCCGUAGGCGGAUCUUUAAGUCAGUGGUGAAAGCCCACAGCUCAACUGUGGAACUGCCAUUGAUACUGGAGAUCUUGAGUGUAGUAGAAGUAGGCGGAAUAGGGCAUGUAGCGGUGAAAUGCAUAGAUAUGCCCUAGAACACCGAUUGCGAAGGCAGCUUACUAUGUUACAACUGACGCUGAGGGACGAAAGCGUGGGGAGCAAACAGG
rnacentral:rRNA from 1 species